UACGGAGGGUGCAAGCGUUACUCGGAAUUACUGGGCGUAAAGCGUGCGUAGGUGGUUCGUUAAGUCUGUCGUGAAAGCCCCGGGCUCAACCUGGGAAUGGCGAUGGAUACUGGCGAGCUAGAGUGCGGUAGAGGAGAGUGGAAUUCCCGGUGUAGCAGUGAAAUGCGUAGAGAUCGGGAGGAACAUCAGUUGCGAAGGCGGCUCUCUGGACCAGCACUGACACUGAGGCACGAAAGCGUGGGGAGCAAACAGG
rnacentral:rRNA from 1 species